rnacentral:misc_RNA from 1 species
AAGUCGUAACAAGGUUUCCGUAGGUGAACCUGCGGAAGGAUCAUUAUCACGUUGCAAAACACUUAUCAACCUUGCGUGCACUCGGUUCCUUCAGAAUAUUUUAUGGGUUUGGUGGUUUUUGGGUUGUUUGUUGAAGUGGUUUGGAACACCCGCCAUCUUUGGUCUCACAGUCUUUUGAUUGUUUGACCAGCCCUGUUCUGAAGAGCUGUUUUUUGCGGUACCACCUCAGCCGCGUCUUGUUUCACCUUUUUUCCUUUUUAAACCCCUGUACGAUUAAUGAACUGAUUUGGUUCUUUUGUCUGGUCAUUCAGUUGAUCUGCGAAAGAAUUCACUUACAAAAACAUCAAAACAACUCUUAACAACGGAUAUCUUGGUUCCCG